rnacentral:rRNA from 1 species
CCUACGGGGGACUGCAGUGAGGAAUAUUGGUCAAUGGACGAGAGUCUGAACCAGCCAAGUAGCGUGAAGGAUGACUGCCCUAUGGGUUGUAAACUUCUUUUAUAAAGGAAUAAAACGAGGCACGUGUGCCUUUUUGCAUGUACUUCAUGAUUAAAGAUCGGCUAACUCCGCGCCAGCAGCCGCGGUAAUACGGAGGGUCCGAGCGUUAUCCGGAUGUAUUGGGUUUAACGGGAGCGUAGAUGGGUUGGUAAGUCAGUUGUGAAAGUUUGCGGCUCAACCGUAAAAUUGCAAUUGAUACUGGCAGGCUUGAGUACAGGAGAGGUAGGCGGAAUUCGUAGUGUAGCGGUGAAAUGCUUAGAUAUCACGAAGAACCCCAAUUGCGAAGGCAGCUUACUAAACUGUAACUGACAUUGAUGCUCGAAAGUGUGGGUAUCAAACAGGAUUAGAUACCCCGGUAGUC